CCUACGGGGUGCAGCAGUGGGGAAUAUUGGACAAUGGGGGGAACCCUGAUCCAGCGACGCCGCGUGAGUGAAGAAGUAUUUCGGUAUGUAAAGCUCUAUCAGCAGGGAAGAAAGAAAUGACGGUACCUGACUAAGAAGCCCCGGCUAACUACGUGCCAGCAGCCGCGGUAAUACGUAGGGGGCAAGCGUUAUCCGGAUUUACUGGGUGUAAAGGGAGCGUAGACGGCGAUGCAAGUCUGAAGUGAAAUCCUGCGGCUUAACCGCAGAACUGCAUUUGAAACUGUUGAUCUUGAGUACUGGAGAGGCAGACGGAAUUCCUAGUGUAGCGGUGAAAUGCGUAGAUAUUAGGAGGAACACCAGUGGCGAAGGCGGUCUGCUGGACAGCAACUGACGGUGAGGCGCGAAAGCGUGGGGAGCAAACAGGAUUAGAUACCCGAGUAGU
rnacentral:rRNA from 1 species